rnacentral:lncRNA from 1 species
GGAUGCUGUUUUAGGGAUGCUGGAGGCAUAAAAGAUUUUGAAUGCUUCAAUUUUUCCUCUAAUUAAAGCCAUUUUUUUUUUCCCUCCACAAAGCUAAGAACGUUUCUUCAGGGUCUAAGAACGUUGUUAAGAAACACGUCCAAGUAGAUCUCUGUAAAAGAAUAAAAUUUUACCGUGAAAAUAACAACAGAACUUGGCGUAUCACGAGUUUGGAUCAUUUCUUUAUUGAGCAUAACGCUUAGAAGGCAUUGAGAGGGAGUUGUGGUUGAUCCCUUUAUAAAUCCGCUGGUUUUAGUCGUAAUUUUGUUUUGCGGAGGGCAUGAUACGUUGGUUCUAAAACAGCAAACACUGAAGAGCAGCGUUACAAAUGGAAAUACUUGACGUGUUGAGUCCUUCAUGGCACCUGCUCAUCUUGCGUUUUCCUCAGCCAGAAACGUCAAGACUUUUCUUGUCCUGACCGUACGUUUGUGCUGGAUCAGGAGCAGAGAGGGCGGGAAGAGCUCACUGGGCCGCCUUCCAGCUUCGGUUCUUGAUCGCCGGCUCCGUCGCCAACCGCUGAAGCAAUGCAACUGCGCCUCACAUCAGCCUUUGCGAGAGGUGGCUCUGUUUCCAUUUUGAUUUCAAGGAACCCAUUGCAUCAAUACCCGUUCACAUGACCUUUUUCUGACGUCCCUUGGCGUGCGGAAGAUGUGUACCCAGCUUGAGUUUAACAGAACUCUUCAUGUGAUCAGCAGUUGGGAUGAGGAGGAACUUCUUCCAAACUGUGAUCCCUGUCAUCUUAUGUCGAUGGGUGUCUAACGAACGGCGUAGGUGUCUGAGUUUCAGUGCCCCGUCAAUACAAGGAGUCCUUUCGAACACAGGUGUUUCUUCUGUAAUCUGCAUUGGGGAAGCAUCUAACAUAACACCAACGCUUCUGUUUUCUGGCCUGGCCUCAGGGCAGGUGAGAAUGAUGGUUGUGGAAGGGCUGGAAAGCUGCUUUUGGUGCUGUUGGGUGCAGUAGGUGAAUGACCCAUACAACCUGUUUUUGAAGGAAAAUCCUAGAUGGUGGUAAAAAUUUCCAAAAGAAUUUUGCGGGGCCGAAGGUCCACAUACGGUAACAUCAAAGUUGCAUUA